rnacentral:snRNA from 1 species
AUCACUUCUCAACCUUUUGGUUCAGAUCAAGUGUAGCA